GAAAACCUUGUCUAGGUGCGUAUCAAGGCCUGGCUGUCUAGAAGAUUAUUUUGACUAUAUAAAAGCUUAAAAUGGUGAAGAGAAUUUUCAUCUCUGGAAAUGAGAAAAGACAUCCUGGGAACAGAAGUCCUUGGAAACCAAUGAGAGAGUGGGCAGGUUCCUGUGGAGUGCUAACUUCCAGUACAGAAUAAAGAAGCGUUGCAAGCUGAAACAUGACUCUUAUCUAUAGCCACCUGCCUAAAGCUGAUAGUUGAACACCAGCUGGGAGUUAUCACCCAAAGAAGCAUAAAAGGGCUGGAGUGAGACAAAAUGAUCCAUCAAGUCCUGCUUCACCAAGUCCUAAUAACCUUACAAUACAAAACAGAGAACAGUAUGAGUCAUGGAAUCUUCUUUGACUGAUUCUUCACAUAAAUGAAAGUAGUUUCUCAUUUCUCAUGGUAUUUAUGGUGGUUUUCCAAGCCUUCUUUUCUUGCUGGCUGUUCUGAUUGAUAGUAAGGUUUUUAGCAAUUGUGUGAAAAUCAACUCAGAGCUUCAGUUUGUUCUUGUUGAUGCUAUCUGUCAAUGUAUGGAGACCAGGACCUCCAUAGAAAAGGAUGGCAAUGCCAAAACAAUGAAGGCUCAUAAUUUAACCCAUGUUUCAGUGUAAAUAAAGACAACAGUGUGGAAUAGAGUUUCCAAAAUUCAGGACUAUUUGGACCUUGUGUUCUGUUCCAAGCCUCUCUUGAACAAAUAUGCUUUCCUUUCUAAAUUAUAUUACUGAAUGCUAGGGAAAGAAAUUGUGAGGAAAGAUCUAUUUAAUGAAAUCUAGAGAUGACUUGACAAAACAAGCUUUAGUGAACUGUUUAAGUUCAUUUUCUAAUGGUUUAAACAGAUGUUACCUCUAAGAAGCUCUCACAAAAUUAUGCCUUUGGAAAGCUUACCUUACAUACUUCAUGGUCUUGUAAAAGUGGCGUAUUUUGUAUGAAUAACCAUGGAGGAAAAGGACUAACAGCAUUAACUUUUAAUGGUUUUAGUUUUAAAUUUUAAAGCUAUGUAUUCACCAGUCCCCUAGCUUUUUCUCUAGGGAGUCAAAAAGAAGGAAGGAAAAUUUUGAUGCAUGUGGUUGUUGACAGUAGCUGAAAAUUGAAUAAAUAUUACAAGAAUUUAAAAACAAAAAUAAUUAAAUGAAAGUAUAGAAAUGGUGGUAAAAAGUGUCUGAGCUGUAUUGUCCUUGUGACAAAACAGAAAGCAAGAUGUGUGUGAACAGGAUGUGAGCAUAACCUGAGAUCAUGAGAUAAAGAUUCUUACCUGGUUUUUACUGUGAAAACAUAACUGUGAGCCUAAAACUUAACACUGGAAAUAAUGCUGAUUUAAAGAUUAACAACCCAUUGUGUAGUUGGGUACUAAUUGAAGAGGUUUGGAUUUUUAGAUAUCAAGUAAAUUAAAUGGUGGAAUGAAAUUUUGAAAAUACUUGUAUACCUAGAACAACAGCUGGCAUUUAAUCUCACCAUUUACUUGUAUAAACCAUUUAAUGCAGGCAAAUUUUUUGUUGCCCAAAACUCAUUUGCUGCUCCUUCACAAUUGCAUAGCUUUUUCUGGGACCAAUCUAUCCAUGUCAGGAUGUAUGUCGGGAAGUUAUUUCAAAGCCUCUUGGAUAUGCUACCUAUUUCUUGCACAGGCUCUACAGUUUCUGUGUACCCCUCUCUGUUGUGAUCAUCCCUGGAGACCUCAGAGGAAUUACUGCCAAAGCUCCAGGCAUCCCUGUGGGGCUUGUAUGGAACUAGUCUGUUAGGCAUUUCAGUACUGCUGCAAACACAAAAAGAUGUUUGAGUUUAAAAACUCCAAACUCCAAACAAACAGACCCUCUCCCAGAAGAGCUGAGGCUUCCCAGAACUGCUAUAGCAAUACAGGAUUACUCACAAGAAGAGUAAUCACUAACAUCACCAGACAUGAGAACAGGUGUGCUGCAGUAUGAUGUUACUCUCUUAGGAAGGUCCUAGGUGAGAUUCUCCUGCACCACUUCAGUAAGGAGGUUAUUGUGGGGGGGCUUUUUAAUGGCAUGGAAUUCCUUGUCCACUCUUUUGUAGAAAGAUGAAAUUUAUUUUAUGUCAUUGCAAAAGCACGUAUGAGUGUAGAAUGAAAGAGAAAUUUGUAUACUAACAUGGAGCUUGCAUUUGUAAUAUGAAAAAUGAAACAUUUAUUUUUUUGUGGUGGGGUACAGAAUGAGACAAAUAGAAAAAUGUUGAUUCAUUGAAGGUAAGGAAGUUGAAAAGUCAUUAAAAAGAUUUUGGAAGUGUCUUUAUAUACUUUAGCACUUGGCUGUGCAGAAGGAGUGUUGUUGGUGUAUUAAGUAGAAGAUGUUAGCUUUAGCUACACAGAUAAGCAAUAAUUUUUCUUUAUUCUAGCAAUGUAUAAAAAAUAAGUUGUGUUUUAGAAGACAGAACUGUAGUUUAAUGAAGUCAUGGACAGAAGUUACUGCCUGGAUAUGUUUUCAGAGGAGGUAACUGCCCCUCAGCUGCUUGUCACCAUCUUUUCAGCUGGUGAUUAUCAUCGUCUCAGAUCUGUUCGUUGUGCAUGUGCAUGUCAUUUUCUAACUUGUCUGUCAAAAUGAGUUAGGUUGAAAAUACUUUCUUUUUCUUUUUUUUUUUCUUUUUUUUUAAAGCUAACUUGGUUCUCUUUGAAGGCAACAGAUUGUGGAACAUUUGUAAUAAGAGCCCCUCCAGCAGAUAAUCUCAAGCAGAAGGGUGAUGACAGGCGGCUGGAGGUUGUAACCUCUUCUGAGCUGGAGGAGUUUCUUGAGAUAAAUCAGUUAUUCCAAAACUUGGGUGUAGCAAGCAUAUCUGCUGCAGGGGCGGGGGUCUUGUAGACACCCCUCACCCUGCAAAAGCUGCUUCUGACACCUCCACAGCCAGGAGCCACCCAUGCUGCUGAUCUACUCCCUUGUACAGGCAUGUGACUGAGAGCAGGGUGUCAGUAUUUAGAGCCUGUUCGAGUCAGAAAGACAUGCUGGAGUGGAAAGCAGGCCAGCUUGGAACAGUGAUGCUGAGUAUGAGGAUGCCUUUGUCAGCUUGACUAAGGACCAACCCACCUACAGGUGCCAUUCUUUGAUGAAAUUGGGUUGAAAUCCAGAUGCUCUCAUCCCAUAACUGCAACAAAAAGGGGUACAGCUGCUGCAGGAGCAACAGCAGACACUCUGGGGGUCUGUCAAUGCCCUGGAGUGCACUGCAGUUACUGAAAACCUGCUUUCUCAGGAAUCCAAUUCAUAUGCGCUGAAAUGCUAACAUGAAGGUUGUCCUAAGAUGCUUUUGAGUUAAUGUGGUAAUGUGGGAGUUGCUAUGGCAUUUAUUCAUUGAGAUGCAUGAGUUGAGGACUUAUUAGUGUGGGAGGCCAUACUUCCUUUCUGCAGAGGAAGAACUCCACAGUGCUCAGCCUAGUUAAUAUAUCUCAGGAUAUGAAACUUUAUAAAUAAUGACAUGUAAAGGAGGCAAUUUAUGGUUCCUCUUGCCAAGAAUUUGCCUGACUUGUUUAUUUGGGGAUAGGAUGAGGUCCAUUUUCUAUGUUAAUAUGAUAGGCCUAAUCUCUAGCAGGUUAGAGUGAUAUAUGGUGUCUCAAAUGGAUCUUCCUGUUGAAGACGAAGAAGUAUUUGUCCUCAGUCCCAAAAUCCAAGAGGUCAUGGUCAAAAGCAGAUAAAACAACCAUAGCUGUGGAGUCAGACACAUACUCAAACCAAAAUGGCAAAUUGGAUAUUUUAAGUGAAAUCCAAGUAGCAGUGAUGUGAGUGCAAGGAUGGAACUGCAGUCCUAGGGCCACAAGAGAAUGAGCUGGAGGAAAGGUGAAAAGUCUGUUGAAUUGUUCUGGCACGGUGUUAAAUGUGCACCACUAUAUCCAGCUGGGAGAAGUAGAAGGACCUGUAGUGGAGAUAGUUUUACUUGGUCUUGCCUUCUUUAGUGCUUAGGGUACAGGUCUCAUCUUGUAACUGAAAUUCCUGAAUUUCUGGCUUUAAUCACCAAGAACAGUGUAUUUUUAUGAGGACUUUGGUCUUUCUAGUGGGACUUACGGAACAUGAUGGUUUCUUAAUGCAGCAUUCUUGCAUCCAGAUCACAGAAUCACAGAAUCAUUAGGUUGGAAGAGACCUUCAAGAUAAUUGAGACCAACCCAUGCCCUA